AUGCCCCCAUCCUCUUUUCUCUCUCUCCAUGGACUGCUUCAAGACCUGGGUACAUCAACAACAAGUUCAGCAAGUAGUACAAGGCGACGAACGGAGGUACAAAUCAACGACCAGCACUUCACAUUACAGGUCAUAGAUGUUCUUGUUCUUUCAGUAUACAAUAAGGUUACUUCAGAUAGGAUUAGGCUGUUAGGAUUAAUAUUGAUAAAGUGCAGGUGUGUUUUGCUUCCACAAAAGUGCAGUGGCUGGACCUUGGUGUUAUCUCACUACCUAUCAAAGUCACCUAUCUCACCGUAUUGUCGAUGCGACCUAAACUUUUUUUGGGCAUUGCAAAUCUUUCUAGGCUGCUAUUUGUUCUACAAAAAAUUCUGCAGUGUGUUCAGUUUUACAACAUUAGAUAUCCUUGAAAAAAGUCACUUGUCUCAUGACCGAUGCGUUGGUGUUGUUCUUUUGUUUUCAUUGCAAGUCAUUUUGGACUGCCAUACAUGGGUAUACAAAAAGUUCCGCAGUGUGUUAGUUCAGAUUUUCAUCAUUAGUUAUCCUUGA
rnacentral:rRNA from 1 species